CCAGCAAAUGGUGGGGAUGUCUCCAGGCUGCCCACUCUACGGCAGCGGGACAAAUAAAAGGAUCCCACCAGCAAUUUGCACCACCGUUGAGAACCCUGAGAGGACCACGCCCCAUCACCCGCCUCCACCUUCCAUCUUGCCUGCUGGGAUGCUACUACCGGGUCAACGGUAGACCAACAGUUACCACGCGAGUCUGCUUGACAGAACACGAAGGGCAGUGGCAGCGGCACUCAGAUGUUCCAGGUUCAGCCCCUGUGAAAUUAAUGUCUAUAAAUCAGGGGCAUCCUCUAUUGCUAGGCACUGGGGUUCUUUCUUAGCCACACAAUGGCCGUUGCUUGCCCCAUGGUGGCCACGAUGACAUCUGCACCUGGAACCACGCUCAACCCCCCUCCUUGGCUACUCAGUGCUGGGGUCGCGAGUGCUGAACUCUCUGGCAGGGGAGAUAAUGGCUGCUACUGGCCCAGAGAACUUAGGCAAGUGCCUGGAAGAUGUGAAACAUUGUGAGAGAGACAGCCCUCACUUGCUCAGCAUAAUGCCUCAUGGGAAAACUUCACCAGAGCCUUAUGGUCUUCAUCUGUUAAAUAUGACAAUUAAAAUGAAGCGACUUCAAAUCUA